CCAACAUGGGCUAAAUCAGUCACGGGGGUCCCCUGGGUGGACCACAGGGACUCGUUCACUGCUCCUCUCUCCCCUCCUCAGGGACAGGGGCAGCUGAGGCACAGCAGGCCGGCACUAAAGGCCCACUCUCUCCAAGAUCAUCCUCUCCUAGAGCUGCAGAGGUUGCCAUGGAGACAGACAAUCACAUUGGCCCACGAGUCAGCUCACACCCAGGACCUCAAAGGGUACCCUCUUGCAGUAAGCACUGCUGGCUGCCCACCCAACCGCCCUUACCCCCUUUUUUGCUCCUGGAACUCUUGUGUCACAGGCCAAUCCUGAUGAGUCUACGUUGGUGAAGUGUGAGCCUCCCAUUCUCCUUGCCAGUGAUUGGCUUACAGGUUCCCUUCAAAUUAAGUCAUCUCUUCUUCAAGGCUCAGUCAUAUAAAUUUCAAAGGACACGUGGCCAUGCUCCAUACCAGAAAGGUUUGAAGGAGGUUUAACAACCUCAAGAAACUCAGACAAUCAUCCAGUGCCUCGCCCAGCAGGAAAGUGCUGAAGCGGGUGGGGUGACUGGUCACCAAGCAAGGCUCAUGCGGAUGGGCAUCGAUAAAGACAUCGAUAAAGACGUGGUUACCAUGGCAACCAUCACUUCUAACUUCUUAUCAAACC